rnacentral:lncRNA from 1 species
CUGUUUUGGUACCAGUACCAUGCUGUUUUUGUUACUAUUGCUCUGUAGUGUAGUUUGAAGUCUGGUAUGGCUAUACCGCCUGAUUCACACUUCCUGUUAGCAUUGUUUUUGCUAUUCUGGGUCUUUUAUUUUUCCAUAUGAAUUUCAUGAUUGCUUUCUCUAUUUCUACAAGAAAUGCCGUUAGGAUUUUGAUUGGCAUUGCAUUAAACCUAUAGAGAACUUUUGGUAAUAUCACCAUUUUGAUGAUGUUAGUUCUGCCUAUCCGUGAACAGGGUAUAUUUUUCCAUCUUCUAAGAUCUUCUUCUAUUUCUCUCUUUAGGGUUCUGUAGUUUUCAUUGUAUAAGUCUUUCACCUCUCCGCAAAAGGAUUUCAAUUACUUUUAACUGAAAAAUUCUUCACUUCUGUUCCUGGAGAACACAAGUUUGUCUCCCUCCGUUGAGACUUUAUACUGAAAUGUGGAUCAUUAAAGCUGCGUUAAAUAGCCAAUAUUCCUUGCCACACGUGGACACACAUUUCAAUUCUUUUCCCUCUUUGAUGCCUCCUCUUCGGCCUCAGCCUGUUCUCCCUCUUCUCUAAGUCUUCUCCUACCCUUUCCUUGCCUCUUAGAAACCCAGCCCAGUUCUCCUCUCCUCCUAGAAACGGAAUCUGUUGGAUCCCCACAGAUUCCAGUCUGUAUCCCUUAAUGCAUUGUGAACAAUUAAAUAGUUAAAGAAUACCGCCCCAAAGUAUAAAGUGCAUGCUAUAAAAAUAAGAUAUCCCUUCCUGUCCUUUAUCCCACCCACAAUUUCCAAACCUUCUAGGCAAAUCAUUCUUAGUGGUUUGUUGUGGACCUAUCUAGAAUUGUUCUCUGCUUACACACCAUUUAUAGCCCAGCAUAUUGCCUAAUAAUAGGUACUUGAGAAUCAGGGCACCUGGAUGGACUUCUGAGUCAGCCAUGUACCAAGUUGGGUAACCUUGAGCAAGUUACUUAACUUCUCUAUAGUUUUUCAUUUUUUUUUAAUUCUUUUUGAGUUUUGGUCCCACACUCCUGGGUUCAAUCGAUCCUCCCACCUCAGCCUCCAAAGUAACUGAGACUUCAGGCACACCUGGCCAUGCCUUGAUUUCCUCAGGCAAAAUUGAGAUAAUAUUAGUAUCUGUGUCAUAGAGUUGUUCUGAAGAUUAAUAAGUUAAUAAAAUUAAAUCACUUGGAAUAAUGCCUGGUAUAUAAUAAGCACUGUAUAGGUGGUGAUGAUGAUGAUGAUGAUAAUGCAUUUAAUAUGUAUUUUCCUUUUUGUUACACAAAUAAAACCAUUCUAUAAAUACUGUUCUUCAAGCUUAUAUCAUCUACUAAACAUCACGGGUAGCUUUCAACAUUCAUAUAACCGUAUUAAUUACAAUGACAACAUGGUCUUCAAUGGUACGAUUAUAAAAGUUGGAGCUAUUUUCGAAUUCAGAACUCAAGAAAGGCCUUUCAUGCAUGACAGCAUCUCACAAAAUGUCCCAAGAUGAUGCUCUCGUGGUCCUGGGUUUUAGGUACACGUCGGGAAGACACAUCAGAAUUGGUGUUUGCUUUUCUCAGCACUGACCUCCUACAGGAUAGCCCUGAUUUCCUUCUGUGAUCUGA